AUUUAAAUAGUUUAAUAAAAAUAUUAGUUUGUGGGACUAGAGAUAUAAUAGCUUAUUUUAAAUA
rnacentral:tRNA from 1 species